GAAACGAAGAGCCCAUUCAUCACAUUGAAAGCUGACACCUGACAGAGAUUCAAUCCCAUCUUGAUGCUGGAAACUUGGAGAGAAAUGGAGUGGAUUAAUUUUCUCAGAAUGAAGAGGACCCUGAAGCCCUAGGAGACAAGAACAGAACCACAAGAUGGAAAGAGUUUGGGUUCCCAGAAGGUGGCCCACCAACUGUCAAUAUCUGUGUUGGAUGUUCACCUGAAUGAAAAAACUUUUAUUGUAUUGAACCACUGGAGUUUGGGAAUUUGUUACAGCUGCUAGCAUUACCUUGUUUAUUUUGUUGUUGGUAAACUGGUAAAUCUAUAACUAAUAAAUAACAGGAACAUACGAA